AUUGAACGCUGGCGGCAGGCCUAACACAUGCAAGUCGAACGGUAACAGGAAGACGCUUGCUUCUUUGCUGACGAGUGGCGGACGGGUGAGUAAUGUCUGGGAAACUUCCUGAUGGAGGGGGAUAACUACUGGAAACGGUAGCUAAUACCGCAUAACGUCGCAAGACCAAAAAGGGGGACCUUCGUGCCUCUUGCGCUUGGAUGUGCCCAGAUGGGAUUAGCUAGUAGGUGGGGUAACGGCUCACCUAGGCGACGAUCCCUAGCUGGUCUGAGAGGAUGACCAGCCACACUGGAACUGAGACACGGUCCAGACUCCUACGGGAGGCAGCAGUGGGGAAUAUUGCACAAUGGGCGCAAGCCUGAUGCAGCCAUGCCGCGUGUAUGAAGAAGGCCUUCGGGUUGUAAAGUACUUUCAGCGGGGAGGAAGGGAGUAAAGUUAAUACCUUUGCUCAUUGACGUUACCCGCAGAAGAAGCACCGGCUAACUCCGUG
rnacentral:rRNA from 1 species